CCUACGGGAGGCAGCAGUGGGGAAUAUUGCACAAUGGGGGGAACCCUGAUGCAGCAACGCCGCGUGGGUGAAGAAGUACUCCGGUAUGUAAAGUCCUUUCAACAGGGAAGAAAAUGACGGUACCUGACCAAGAUGCCCCGUCUAACUACGUGCCAGCGGCCGCGGUAAUACGUAGGGGGCAAGCGUUAUCCGGAUUUACUGGGUGUAAAGGGAGCGUAGACGGCAUGGCAAGUCUGGAGUGAAAGCCCGUGGCGCAACCCCGGAACUGCAUUGGAAACUGUGUUGCUGGAGUGCAGGAGGGGUAAGCGGAAUUCCUGGUGUAGCGGUGAAAUGCGUAGAUAUUAGGAGGAACACCGGUGGCGAAGGCGGCUUACUGGACUGUAACUGACGGUGAGGCUCGAAGGCGUGGGGAGCAAACAGGAUUAGAUACCCGAGUAGUC
rnacentral:rRNA from 1 species